ACCAGAUUCAAAAAUCAGUAACAAAAGGGGCCUCAAAACUUUUCUUGGCCCAGAAGGCUGCCAUAGAAACAGUGUGACUCACGGACCCUGAUUAUCUCUGUUGGGCCUCAGUGAUAAAUUUGGCUACAGACACCA